CAAAUGAAUUGACGGGGGCCCGCACAAGCGGAGGAGCAUGUGGUUUAAUUCGAUGAUACGCGAGGAACCUUACCUGGGCUUAAAUGCUUAAUGACGUACUGGGAAACUGGUAUUUCUUCGGACAUUUUGCAAGGUGCUGCAUGGUUGUCGUCAGCUCGUGCCGUGAGGUGUCGGGUUAAGUCCCAUAACGAGCGCAACCCCUAUUGUUAGUUGCCAUCAGGUCAUGCUGGGGACUCUAACAAAACUGCCCGCGUAAGCGUGGAGGAAGGUGGGGAUGACGUCAAAUCAGCACGGCCCUUACGUCCAGGGCUACACACGUGCUACAAUGGCCGGUACAGAGGGCAGCCACUUGGUGACAAGGAGCAAAUCUCAAAAGCCGGUCUCAGUUCGGAUCGGAGUCUGCAACUCGACUCCGUGAAGUUGGAUUCGCUAGUAAUCGUAGAUCAGCAAUGCUACGGUGAAUACGUUCCCGGGCCUU
rnacentral:rRNA from 1 species